rnacentral:lncRNA from 1 species
CUAUAUAUACACCAUGGUUCAUACACACCAUAACAUAGUUCAGUACAACCUCAAACUGAAGAGCAAACUACUGAAAAGAUGAUACUACUCAUCAAAGCCUUUCCAAGCUUCCUGUACAUUAUUUAUCUAUGCCUCUGGAACUCAUCUCACAACAUAGUCAUAUUCCACAAGACACACAGGACUGUGGAAAUAUAACCACUACAAUACUACUAUCCUACUCACGGGCUCAAGCAUUUGCAUAAAACAUCU